GAUGAACGCUGGCGGCGUGCCUAAUACAUGCAAGUCGAGCGAACAGACGAGGAGCUUGCUCCUCUGACGUUAGCGGCGGACGGGUGAGUAACAAGUGGAUAACCUACCUAUAAGACUGGGAUAACUUCGGGAAACCGGAGCUAAUACCGGAUAAUAUAUUGAACCGCAUGGUUCAAUAGUGAAAGACGGUUUUGCUGUCACUUAUAGAUGGAUCCGCGCCGCAUUCGCUAGUUGGUAAGGUAACGGCUUACCAAGGAAACGAUGCGUAGCCGACCUGAGAGGGGGAUCGGCCACACUGGAACUGAGACACGGUCCAGACUCCUACGGGAGGCAGCAGUAGGGAAUCUGCCGCAAUGGGCGAAAGCCUGACGGAGCAACGCCGCGUGAGUGAUGAAGGUUUUCGGAUCGUAAAACUCUGUUAUUAGGGAAGAACAAAUUUGUAAGUAACUAUGCACGUCUUGACGGUACCUAAUCAGAAAGCCACGGCUAACUACGUG
rnacentral:rRNA from 1 species